CUGGAGGUAUCAGAAGUGCGAAUGCUGACAUAAGUAACGAUAAAGCGGGUGAAAAGCCCGCUCGCCGGAAGACCAAGGGUUCCUGUCCAACGUUAAUCGGGGCAGGGUGAGUCGACCCCUAAGGCGAGGCCGAAAGGCGUAGUCGAUGGGAAACGGGUUAAUAUUCCCGUACUUGGUGUUACUGCGAAGGGGGGACGGAGAAGGCUAUGUUGGCCGGGCGACGGUUGUCCCGGUUUAAGCGUGUAGGUGUGUGUUCCAGGUAAAUCCGGUUCACUUUAACACUGAGGCGUGAUGACGAGGCACUACGGUGCUGAAGCAACAAAUGCCCUGCUUCCAGGAAAAGCCUCUAAGCAUCAGGUAACAUCAAAUCGUACCCCAAACCGACACAGGUGGUCAGGUAGAGAAUACCAAGGCGCUUGAGAGAACUCGGGUGAAGGAACUAGGCAAAAUGGUGCCGUAACUUCGGGAGAAGGCACGCU
rnacentral:rRNA from 1 species